AGCUUUGCGCAGUGGCAGUAUCGUAGCCAAUGAGGUUUAUCCGAGGCGCAAUUAUUGCUAAUUGAAAAUUUGAGAUAGAUCAAGGGGUACAUGGGAGGCGCUGGAGGGAGGAAGGGAACAGAAGAAAUAAUGGAAUCAUUUCAUGAUU